CUCUUAGGAAACAGCCUCCAGCUGAGCAACAUCAAGUAAAGGUGGUGUAGUGCAAAGCACACCCAAAAAAGAAGCUGAAGUUGUAGCCCCAAAGAAGAAAGGUACAGUAACAACUCAGAAGACCGUUAAGUCUUCGUCCAAGGCAUCACAGGAAGGCUCAGCUUCAACAGAAGAAGAUAUUCCUGCUCUUCCUACCAUUGAUGAAAAUUUGCUUCAACAGACCCACAAAUAUAUUAUACAAGCUUCAGUGUUAUAUAAUAGUUGGCCACUUACUGAAAGUCAAAUUGUAUUUGUUCAGGCACUAAAAGAAUUAGAAAAAAAUGAAAUCAAAGCUCGUCCUGUUGAGAGACAUGAAGAGAAUAUAUCUAUCUUAAGUCCAGACAUCCAUAGCAAUUUGGAAAGUCAAAAGUCGGCAGGUUCUUCCAAAACCACUAGAAAAACAAAGGA